AACAAUUUUGCUCAAAUAUUACAUUAAAAUAUAACAUAAUUUUAGAAGUGCUAUUGAUAUGGAGACACGGAGAAAAAAAGACACGGUAAAAAAAAAUUAGGCGGCAAAUGAAACUCUUUUUGCCGCCUGAAAUUGACAAAAAGAACAGCAAAUGAAAAAAAAACUUAUCCCUAAUCUGAAAUCCCUACGCAUGCCUCUCUCUCUCUCUCAAAUCCCUAAUCUCUACCAGCGCCUGAACCACACCACAACGGCGGCAAAACUUAUCCCUAAUCUCUCAUUCAGUCUUUCUCUCAUUCGCUCUCCCUUGCUCUUUCUCUCAUUCGCUCUCUCACAUUCUCCUCCCUCACGCCGGUACUCACGCAACUGAAGCACACCACGACCACACCCGUGCUGUAGUCGUUGAGUCUCUCAUCCCCCCCUCUCUGUUUAUCUCUCCCGCUGCUGUCUCUCCUGCUGGAGCAAGAACCCAGGCAUCUCCCUCACGAGUCGCGUGCUUGCUAUCUCUCCUGCUGGAAGAAAGAACCCAGCCAUCUCCCUCACGAGUCGCGCGCUUGCUAACUCUCCUACUGGAAGCACGAAACCAGGCCAGAGUAUUCGAAACUGUGAGGAGCUAAUUCCUCUUAAUCGGUAAGAUCAGUAAAUUACCCAAAUAAGAUGGAUUUCGGAAAAAAAGGGGCUUGAUUUCUUGGACUUGAGUGAGAACCAGCUUGAAGGCAUGCACUUAGACUCUGAUCUAGUGAUGUUAAGCUUGAAGGAAAUUGGAAAACUCAAGGUGAAAUAUUUUCAUACAAGUAUGCUUCAUUUAUAAUCAUGAAAUUCUUUUAUGUAUAUGGUUUAUCUACUCUCAGCAUUGGAAGAAAUGACCUACUGAGUUUGCUCUUACUUUUGAUCCCAUCUUUAUUUUCUUUGAGACUCAAGUUUUUGGCUCAAGAAUUUACACUUAGUUUGGAUCAAAUUCAAGGUGUUGAGCUUUCUAUUUCAUCUCUAUUCAAUUAAGAAAUUGAGUGACUUCAUAUUAUUUUCAUUUGCUACCUACAUAUAUUUAAGUUAGCCCUUUCAUUGAGCUAAUUUUAAUCAGAAAGUAAGUCAAUAAAGAAAAUUUUGCUAUUAUUUGUUCUAAAGUGCAUUUUAGUUUUUAUAUGUGUUAAAAGAACCAUAGUUUUGAUUGUGUUUUCUAAAGUACUAAAGUACCAUUAACUUGAUUUAAAAUGUAUGUUAAA